AUGCUUGCUUGUUUCAUGGAAGGAAAUGGACCCAGGGGUGAGUCAGAGCAGACCCAGGGGUGGAAAACUCUGCCCACUCUUGGGGUUCUUAGGGGUCCAGGGUGCUGCCCUUGGCAGGCAGGGCGAGAUAAAGACACCUGGAUUCCCCAGGGCAGCAGUGGCUACCUGGCCCAGGUCAUCAGGUGGGCCGAUUGUGGGUCAGGAUGGCUGCACAGGGGACCAGUAGGAAGGGGCAAGCGUGUCCUUGUCCUGGGCGAGGGUGGGCCCGCCACCCUCUGGGCUCUCGGAUAUUCCUCAAGGUUUCAGCUGGGAAACUGUCGCCUGCAGUCUGCAAACAUCCCUUCCCGCUCCGCCGUGCCGCCUGCCAAGCGCUGCCAGCCGCCAGCUUGGCUCGCAGUCGGCUCACGCAAGCUGCCCGGCCUGGCACCGGGCUCCCGCCCACCGNNNNNNNNNNNNNNNNNNNNNNNNNNNNNNNNNNNNNNNNNNNNNNNNNNNNNNNNNNNNNNNNNNNNNNNNNNNNNNNNNNNNNNNNNNNNNNNNNNNNGCGGGGGGGGGCGGUCUCCUGGUGCCCUCCGGGCCGGGCAGUCUCACAGCAGGGCUCCAGCCCUCCCGUGUCUCCUACCCUGGGCCCCCCACCCCGUGGCCUCUGCUGCAGUCUCGGGAGCAGUCCGGGACACCCCCCCCUGCCCGCCGCUGGGAGAUACCUCAGGAGGCAUUCCAGAACGCUGGGGGACAAGGCGAGUUUGGGAAGAGUUGAGGAGCCCUAGCAGGAAGCAGGUGUCCCCAAGGCUUGGGGACAGGCUGCCUCUUGAGGUCCGCCCUGUGCCAGGGCCCCAGUCCCGCCCCCACCCCUGGCUGGCCCUGGGUCCCCUCCACCGGCCCCUGGUGGUCAGCCAGGAUCACAAGCUCCUGGGGUUCUCUGGGGUGUCUCUGUGCCCAGGCAGAUGCUAAUGCCAGCACCCACUCUGCCAGAGGAGGGACCACUGCCCCAGGACCCUUCCCAUCCAGAGCCUGGGCUGAGCCCCCCGGGCGAAGGCCCUUCCACAUCCUUUCAGGGAGAGUGCAGCCCCCACGGGCCAGAGGGCCUGGCUGGGUCUCAGUCCUAGUCAGACCCCGGGCUCUCGGGGCUCAGAGACUGGGCCGCGCUCACCCCGCUGCGGCCCAGACUCCACUCAGCCUUGCUGACUGGUCUCCCUAGGCCCUUGGCUGGCAAGAGGGGGCCCCCAGUUUCUGAGCGGCUCCUAGGCCCCCAGGGGUCCCUCGGCAGCUCUCGGGCUCAGACUUCAGGACGAAAUCACACAAUUUAAAAUUAAUCAUCGCACCAUCCCACGGCCUCACAAUUAAGUGACUGUUCAUCCCAAUUAUGUCUGAGAGCGAUUUGUUGUUCUCUGGGCGACAAAAAUCACCUGCUUCAGGCAGGGGCCUGGGGCAGCUCGCACCCCCCAACCUGCACCCGAGGAGGGACCUUGACCUUGGUUCUGAGGUGGCCUUGGGGGGCUGAUGGGCAGAGCAAGGGGUUGGGGGUACUUCAGGGGCUCAGGGAUCAACAAGAGACUGUGCAUGUCUCUGGGCGUGCCCCGACCGUGGGAGCGGGUCAGAGUGACGGGGCUGGGCGAGGAGCUGCAGGGGGUGCAGAUGGGGGGCUGGGGCUUGUUAGUCUUGGCUCUUCCGUUAGGAGCCCCACCUGGUCUCAGUUUCUCCACCAUCAGAAGAGGGGUGACGAUCUUCACCCCCUCCCACCUCCUUGGGGGGGGGGGGCACAGAGGGACUUCUGCCCAGUGGUGGGAGGAGCCAGCGGUGUGUCCCCCAGUGGCCCUGUGGCAUUUCCAGUCGCUGGCCGGGCCCUGGGGGCCCAGGGCCACCUCUCCUGCCCCCGCAGUUCCUCCGUGAGUGUGUCUGGGUGCCUGCUUCCCAGGGCCCCGGGUUUGUGAGCCAGAUCCCUGGGGAGCCGCCCCACAGGGUCCACUGGGGCCCACGCCUCCUGUGUGUGCAACACAGGACAGUUCCCCCCACUGCCAACCAGGAGAGGGUGUGCCCGUUUAUUUGUGUAGGUGGCAGUGAGGAGCUGAACCUGGCUUUCAGAUCUUGGGGAGUCAGGUGACCCCACUUGGGUGCCAAGACAGAGGUUGGGGUUGCUAGCCCCAUGACCUAGGAGGUCACACCCCAACAUCACUCCAGACUCCUAGGGGCCCUGGAAUGGGGGGUCCCUGAGGGCUGACACCAGUCCCCCAGACCCCACCACGCUUCACCGGAGCCAAGGUCAGCAGGUGUCUGAGCCCAUGGCGCGUGCCGCACCUGCUGGUCCAGCCCCAGGCCCAGCACGGCCGUUUUCCUCUGAGCAUUUAAAAAAUUAGGCCAAAACACACAUAAAGAGAUUUUUUUUUUUUUUUUUGCGAGGGAGGAGAAGAUGUGAAAUAAUGAGCUAACAAAAGAAAUUUGGUCCAACAACAUUUUUUAACAAGAAUUGACUUUAAAAUGAUGGUUAUUAACCAUAUUUCCUUUUAGGAGCAGUUAAAACUGCUUCACGAGGUGAGGCAAUUAAUUUUUAAGUUUAUGCUGAACAUUAUAGCACAUGAGCCAUUAACAAGGUGGCGGAAUUAACCUCCCUGCACUUGGCAGAUGGCCGUGGACACUAUCCGGACCAACCCAGCACGGGGCUCCGCCCGGCACCCCAAGAGGGACAGGGGUAGGGGGGUGGCCCAGACUCCCCUGCCACCUCGUGUCCAGCAGCUGGCAGACACAGGGGAGCGCCCAGGGAGAUGUGGGACUCAGUCUGGGGAGGGGUCAGAAGUCAGGGCUGUUUGGAGCUGGGUUGGAGGUCAGAGGUGGGCUGGGGCCCCUACCGAGGUCCUGUAGGCAGCCUGCUGGCCCGGAGUCUGAAAGCCCUGGCCGCUGGGACCCUGGAGAUCCCUGCCCGGCUUCUGGCCCUGGGACCUCCCCAGCUGACGCCCUGGUGCCCAGCGGGAGCCCUUGGAAUUCUCCCUCCCAGGUCCCUAUUUCCAGGGCAGGACUUGGGAGCCAGGUCAAGGUGCCAUGUGGGGGUCAAGGUCACAGCAGGCAAGAUCAACCGCUGCUCCAGGCUGGUCUGAUCCCGAAGCCAGCUCUUCUGCCUGUCUCGGGGCCUCAGUUCCCCGCCAGGGGGUCCUCGCCCACCUCUGCCUGCUGCUCUCAUCUUCCAGGGCAGGGACGCUGCUCCCAGCCCAGCUUCAAGGCCCUGGGGGCCAAGGUGGGGGCCACGUGGAACUUUCCCCAGCCCGCCCCCUUGACGGUGCCCGGCGUUCCCCCUGCAGGCUCCGUGCCCCUAUGCCCUGCAUUCCCUCGGAGGGGGCUGAGCUGGCAGGAGAAGGGGCAUGAACGAGCCUCUCAGGGCAGCACGAACGCAGAAGAUGCCACAGACGUGGUGGCAUCUCAGACCCUGACACCUGUGCUUGAGGCGGCCUCGAAUUCGGGGUCAGCCACAGGCUGACCAAGAGGGCAGCCCGGGGCUGGUGGUCUGGGCCAGGGCACAGGCCUGCUCUGGCCAGGCCUUUGGACACAGGGCCUGGGAGGGAGGGUGCGCCCUCCCCAGGGGAGCAUCGCAGUGGCCCUCAAGCGGUUCUCACCUGCCAGCAUCAGGGGUUCCAGCAUUUCCUGAAACAUGGCCCCUUUAAAUACUAGGCCCCAUUGAACCUUUUUUUUGGGGUGUUGUUGUUGGAAGCUGUUCUAAAAGCUGCCCCCGGUGCCCUGCCUGCUCAGGAAGGUGACUGGGGGGCCCGAGUUCCCAGCUCCAGCUCCAUCUGGGUCCUGCAGCCCCCAGCGCCCCCUGCUUCUCAGCCAGGGGUGGGCGCCAGAGCCAGAGGCCUCACUCAGUCUGAGAAAGCCUCUUGGGUGUGGGCCAUCCAGGCCCCGCUUCCCUGAGUAUCCAGGCCCCUCCUGCCCACCAGGGUGGGUUCAGUUGGGCUGUGCAUACUCAGGACCUGCUUUGACCCCUCGUCCCUCCCGGGGCAGGUGGUGAGGGCAGAGAGGGGGGUCCCGGGGCUGCAGCCCCUGCAUGUCGCCGUGGGCCUCUGCCAACGAGACUCAGAUGGAUCUGAGAGCAGCCCGCGCAGUCUCAUACCUAUAACUUUAAAUUAAAAAAGCCAUGUGCUGUUAUGGGUUCUCCCGGCAGUGCAGCGAGGCAGCCCCAUAAAGAUUAUAUUAUAGUACAAGCCAUUAUGUGCCGAGCCGACUGUAUAUACAUUUCUAAAUGGUUCGGCAAACAGCAGCCUACUUAUGGGCACGAAAGGAGAACUGGUUCAUUUGGGGUAACAAAUGAUCCUUGAUUUGAUUUUAAAUGCAACGACAGCCAAAUUUAUUUCUUAUUUAAUCACUUUCCUGUGCUGUUGAGAGCGGGGUGAUAUUAAACUCUCCAACGCGGAGCAGACUCCGGAAUCAGGCGAAAGAGGCGAGCGAAUAGAUUAUGUUUAUAGGGCAGUGGGAGACCGUGGAGCGAGGCGCAUAACCAGAAUGGGUGUUUUUGUCAUUUAUACAGUAGCUUAGAUCAUGAUUUCUUCCUGCUUCCAAUUUUUCAGUAAUAAAAAUAUAGGCAAUGUGAUUCUCUUUGCAUUACAGAUAAACCAUCUUGAUUCUUUAUUAAAUAUUCUUAGUAAUCUGAAGGACUGCAGAGCGCCGUCACCGGUAAAUCAGGCGGCGAGCCAUCGUCUGCCUCUGCCGUGGGUUCCUGUGCCCACGGUCCGGCUGCCUUCCGUCCCUGCGUUGUGGCCACGUGUACUCGGCAGAAGUGGCACUAAGGGGUAUUUGUUCCUCAAAAUCCGCUCGGUUUGGGUAAUUGCUCCGCAGUCCUCAGUUCUGUACCUUUUGAUUAGGAACCGCUACUCUGGUGUCACCUGCCCGCUUGGACAGGAGGGCCCUUUUGGCCCAUGCUGGGGGCUCGUGGGAGCUGACGGGGGCUGGGGGGGUCUCGGGGGCUCUGGGAGAGGCCUUGGCGCCGGAUGGUUGCCAGCAAGCAUUUGGGGCCCUAGAGACCACAGAGGCCACGUGGGCGCGAGGUGGAGGACAGGCUGAGGGUCAGCUGCAGUGGGCACCCUGGCCCCUAGGGUGGGGACAGCCAGCGUGGGGUCCUCUCGGGAGCAGGGGGCCAGCUCCAGCAGGUCCCCCUUCCUGGGAGGGCUGUCCUCCUGCCAUGGUGGAGGGUAUGGGUGAGAGGGGACAGGCUGUGGUCACUGGUGGGGGCGCUUUCUCGCUGGCAAGUUUGUUUCUCCAGCCUCUGCGGUGGACCCACCCAGAGCUGGGAGGGCCGUCUCCCUGGAAAGCUGUAGGAGGUGGCGGUCCCUUGGCCCCCAGCUAUGUGCCCCACCCCGCCCA
rnacentral:lncRNA from 1 species